GCUUAACACAUGCAAGUCGAGCGCGAAAGUGCCUUCGGGUGCGAGUAGAGCGGCGGACGGGUGCGUAACGCGUAGGAAUCUGCCUGGUAGUGGGGGAUAACUCGGGGAAACUCGAGCUAAUACCGCAUACGCCCCAAGGGGGAAAGCGGGGGACCUUCGGGCCUCGCGCUAUCAGAUGAGCCUGCGUCGGAUUAGCUAGUUGGUGGGGUAAUGGCCUACCAAGGCGACGAUCCGUAGCUGGUCUGAGAGGAUGAUCAGCCACACUGGGACUGAGACACGGCCCAGACUCCUACGGGAGGCAGCAGUGGGGAAUAUUGGACAAUGGGGGCAACCCUGAUCCAGCCAUACCGCGUGUGUGAAGAAGGCCUUAGGGUUGUAAGGCACUUUCAGUGGGGAGGAAAAGUUGCCGGCGAAUACCCGGCGACCGUGACGCUACCUGCAGAAGAAGCACCGGCAAACUCCGUGCCAGCAGCCGCGGUAAUAC
rnacentral:rRNA from 1 species